rnacentral:rRNA from 1 species
UACGGAGGGAGCUAGUGUUGUUCGGAAUUACUGGGCGUAAAGCGCACGUAGGCGGCGACACAAGUCAGAGGUGAAAAGCCCCGGGGCUCAACCCCGGAACGUGCCUUUGUAAACUAAGGUUGCUAGAAUCUUGGAGAGGUCAGUGGAAUUCCGAGUGUAGAGGUGAAAUUACGUAGAUAUUCGGAAGAACACCAGUGGCGAAGGCGACUACCUGGACUGAGUACUGACACUGAGGUGCGAAAGCGUGGGGGAGCAAACAGGAUUAGAAACCCGGGUAGU